rnacentral:rRNA from 1 species
AUUGAACGCUGGCGGCAGGCCUAACACAUGCAAGUCGAGCGAGCGGCGGACGGGUGCGUAAUGUAUGGGGACUGCCCGAUAGAGGGGGAUAACUACUGGAAACGGUAGCUAAUACCGCAUACUAUCGGAUAACCCAUAUGGGAUUAGCUAGUAGGUGAGGUAAUGGCUCACCUAGGCGACGAUCCCUAGCUGGUCUGAGAGGAUGAUCAGCCACACUGGGACUGAGACACGGCCCAGACGCCUACGGAGGCAGCAGUGGGGAAUAUGGCACAAUGGGCGAAAGCCUGAUGCAGCCAAGCCGCGUGUAUGAAGAAGGCCUUAGGUUUGUAAAGUACUUUCAGUCGUGAGGCGUUACCUACAGAAGAAGCACCGGCUAACUCCGUGCCAGCAGCCGCGGUAAUAC